rnacentral:rRNA from 1 species
CCUACGGGAGGCAGCAGUGAGGAAUAUUGGUCAAUGGGCGCGAGCCUGAACCAGCCAAGUAGCGUGAAGGAUGACUGCCCUACGGGUUGUAAACUUCUUUUAUAAAGGAAUAAAGUGAAGCAUGUGUGCCUUUUUGUAUGUACUUUAUGAAUAAGGAUCGGCUAACUCCGUGCCAGCAGCCGCGGUAAUACGGAGGAUCCGAGCGUUAUCCGGAUUUAUUGGGUUUAAAGGGAGCGUAGAUGGGUUGUUAAGGCCGUUGUGAAAGUUUGCGGCGCAACCGUAAAAUGGCAAUUGAUACUGGCAGCCUGGAGUACAGUUGAGGUAGGCGGAAUUCGUGGGGUAGCGGUGAAAUGCUUAGAUAUCACGAAGAACUCCGAUUGCGAAGGCAGCCUACUAAACUGCGACUGACACUGAUGCUCGAAAGUGUGGGUAUCAAACAGGAUUAGAUACCCUUGUAGUC